AUUGAACGCUGGCGGCAGGCCUAACACAUGCAAGUCGAGCGAGCGGCGGACGGGGGAGUGUUGUCUGGGAAAAUGCCCGAGGGAGGGGGGUAACACCAGGAAAAGGUAUAUAAUACACCAUACCAUAAGAUAUGCGCAGAUGGGGUUAGAUAGUAGGUGGGGUAACGGCUCACCUAGGCGACGACCCCUAGCUGGUCUGAGAGGAUGACCAGCCACACUGGAACUGAGACACGGUCCAGACUCCUACGGGAGGCAGCAGUGGGGAAUAUUGCACAAUGGGCGCAAGCCUGAUGCAGCCAUGCCGCGUGUGUGAAGAAGGCCUUCGGGUUGUAAAGCACUUUCAGCGGGGAGGCGUUACCCGCAGAAGAAGCACCGGCUAACUCCGUGCCAGCAGCCGCGGUAAUUC
rnacentral:rRNA from 1 species